CCUUCAUCUCUGAAAAAAGACAUGCUAGUUAAAUUUCAAGAUGUUUUACUUAGAAGAUGACAAGGAAGAUGAGGAGGUUUGUAAAGGCUCAUUAAGUAAAACUCAAGAUGUUUACCAUGACAAGUCCCCUCCUGGUAUCCUGGUCUCACUGCCACCCAGUCUGGAGUGCAGUGUAGGAGGCAACCUCUGCCUCCCAGGCUCAAGCAGUCCUUUCGCCUCAGCCUUCUAAGGAGCUAGGACCUCAGUUACGGCACCCUUGCUUCUGCCUCGGCUGACUU
rnacentral:sRNA from 1 species